rnacentral:rRNA from 1 species
GAAUUUGUUUAAUUUUGGCAUUGGAAGCUAUUAAAUUUCAACCGCAUAUUGAGUUAAUGUUAGUAAUAUUAUUAGAAUGCAAAGACAUUGGUUAGCGGUGAAUUCUCAGUAUUUUCGUGUAAAAGCGAUACCGGGAGAGUUUAUCUAGGAGGAUAAGUCACAGUGCCAGCAUCCGCGGUUAUUCUGUUUCCUUUAGCUUCUUUACGGUGCUUUAGGAGGUGCGUUAGUAAAAUUUUGCAGUCAAAUGCGCAAAUUAUCUUAUUAACUCCGCAUCUUGCUACCUUUAUGCCGCUUAUUUGCGAGUCAGAUUUGAUACCUGAUUAGCCGGCAAAAUAUAUAAAUCUUAGUGUAAACUAAAAUAAUUUGGCAGCCAACUACCCCUAGCAGGGGAGGGUGCGCUUUAAAAGAUGCUCCGCUUAAUAAAUAACCAGGCUUAAUUAGUUGGUGUACGUCCGGCUAGACACCCUUAGCGAAAGCUAACAACAGGUGUAAACACUCUGUUUAAGCCAGGUCAAUGUGCUACUUAUAGCCUGGUGGCUGUUCCCUACAUUUAUAAGCUAGACUAGAGUAAUCUACAAAGUUCAGGACUUGCAAGUAAAUAAAAACUAAUCAGUUUUUUUGAAAUGGGUUUAGUUGGGGUACACACCGCCCGUCAACCUCGGCGUUUAAGCUGAGGUAAGUCGUAACAAGGUAGUUUUUGGGGAACCAGAGACUUUUUUGAA